rnacentral:pre_miRNA from 1 species
GAAUUUAAUCGUCAUAGCUUGAACCUUGCGAACUGACUUUUAUUAAAUGCAGUUUGUUCGUUUGGCUCGAGUUAUAAGACUGUUAAACUG